AUUAUUCCUUGGCAGGGAAGAUGCCAUGAUGACCAAGGUGGUUUUCCCAGGGUGAAACUUGCCUUUGUACUCCAGAUGUGCUGACUUCUACAACUUCCUCAAGUGAGGGAACAUGGCUGCAUAAUUUGUGGUAGUGGGGACUGUUUUCACAUCCCUCCC
ensembl:snRNA U1 U1 spliceosomal RNA